rnacentral:rRNA from 1 species
CCCUCGCAAGGGGGAGUGGCAGACGGGUGAGUAACACGUGGGAACAUACCCUUCGGUACGGAAUAGCUCAGGGAAACUUGGAUUAAUACCGUAUACGCCUUGGCGGGGAAAGAUUGUAUCGCCGAAGGAUUGGCCCGCGUUCGAUUAGCUUGUUGGUGGGGUAACGGCUCACCAAGGCGACGAUCGAUAGCUGGUCUGAGAGGAUGGCCAGCCACAUUGGGACUGAGACACGGCCCAA